AAAAAAAAAAAAAAAAAAAAAAAAAAAAAAAAAAAAAAAAAAAAAAAAAUUUAAAAAAAAAAAAAAAAAAAAAAAAAAAAAAAAAAAAAAAAAAAAAAAAAAAAAAAAAAAAAAAAAAAAAAAACAA